CAAGUUGGCCGGGCGAUCGCGGUUUCGGUUCGCCGAAACUGAGGAAAGUCCGCACUCCACAGAGCAAGGUGCCGGCUAACAGCCGGGCGGGGUGACCCGACGGCAAGUGCAACAGAGAGGCAUAUUGCCGGAAGAGUUCGCUCUUUCGGCGAGGGUGAAACGGCGGUGUAAGAGACCACCGGCGGCGGCAGCGAUGUCGCCGGCCAGGCAAACCCCACCAGGAGCAAGGCCAAGCAGGGCGAAAGGAGCCGAUAGGCCCCUACGGAGUCGCUCGCUCCGUCCGACGUCCGGGUAGGCUGCACGAGGCUUCCAGCAAUGGGAGUCCCAGAUAGAUGAUCGCCGGCGUCACACGGUUGCGUGUGGCGGCACAGAAUGCGGCUUAUAGGCCAACUUGCAGC
rnacentral:RNase_P_RNA from 1 species